CUGCCAGCAAAGCCCUCUUCAACCCACUGGAGUCAGCAGGCCCAGUGCUUCAUAAACCAAGUUAUGAGAGCAGAGCUGAGAAUUUCUAAGGAGCCUCCUUUUUAAAGCCUUUCACUUCACCUGCUCUCCAACAGCUGGAACGGUCACUGCGCAGGAUCAAGCUACAAUGAAGAGGAGGGAGGCAGUCUGCGCGCACCGCCAUUUUCUAGGAACUGGGAAGCCCCCCCACCCCUUAGGAAGAUCCAUCCCUGUGGAACCUUGCCCAGGCUUACCAGCCUUUGCUGAGGUUGAUCUAUUGUCCCUCCUUGUCCCCAUCAAAAUAUCCAGCACUCCACCUUCAGGGAGUAGACUUGACCCUCAAAUAGCAAGUUCAGCCUUCCCAGGUCUAGGUUCCCUGGGAGGUCAAGAUUCGUCUGGUUCCUUAGUACAGAGGGCUAGCUGUGAGUUGGAAUCCCCCUAUGAGCUUUAGAAUCAGUCAAGAGGAAUUGGGCCCCUUCCCUUCAUCCCUCUUCUUUUCCCUUUUUGUCCCAGAGCUCAGCUCUGACUCAAAAGUUUUUCCAUUUACCAUCAACAUGGAAACUUGGCUCCUCACGUAGGUAUAUUAUCCCCCUUUUGUACAUGGUCUUGUUGAUCCAAACUCCCUUUCUGUGAAAGAGGCCUGUGGGGCUCAAGAAGCCUGGUCAGCCAGCCAGGCUAGUCCCACAUACCUCAGAACCAGUUUAAUAAAGGCUCUAUGUCAUU
ensembl:lncRNA TDRG1 testis development related 1